CUAGUUAUCUGCAAGAAAAGGCCAACUCCCAGCUCCCCACACCUGUAGUUGUAGAGAGCAAUAAGGUCUCCCCUGAGCCUCCUCUUCUCCACACUAAACAACCCCAGUGCCCUCAGCCACUUCUUAUAGGACCUGUGUUCCAGACCCUUGACC